rnacentral:tRNA from 1 species
CGCGCGGUCGCCCAAAGCGAGAGGCAGCCCUGCAAGGGCACCAGUGCCGGUUCAAGUCCGGCCCGCGCAC